rnacentral:rRNA from 1 species
AGUGAACGCUGGCGGCAGGCCUAACACAUGCAAGUCGAGCGGCAGCGCGGGGGCAACCCUGGCGGCGAGCGGCGGACGGGUGAGGAAUUCGUCGGAAUCUGCCUUUCUGUGGGGGAUAACGUAGGGAAACUUACGCUAAUACCGCAUACGUCCUACGGGUGAAAGUGGGGGACCGCAAGGCCUCACGCAGAAAGAUGAGCCGUCGACCGAUUAGCUAGUUGGUGGGGUAAAGGCCCACCAAGGCGACGAUCGGUAGCUGGUCUGAGAGGAUGAUCAGCCACACUGGGACUGAGACACGGCCCAGACUCCUACGGGAGGCAGCAGUGGGGAAUAUUGGACAAUGGGCGCAAGCCUGAUCCAGCCAUGCCGCGUGUGUGAAGAAGGCCUUCGGGUUGUAAAGCACUUUUGUCCGGAAAGAAAUCCCUGGAACUAAUACCUUCGGGGGAUGACGGUACCGGAAGAAUAAGCACCGGCUAACUACGUG